rnacentral:rRNA from 1 species
UCGGGAAUUUUGGGCAAUGGGCGAAAGCCUGAUCCAGCAAUGCCGCGUGCAGGAUGAAGGCCUUCGGGUUGUAAACUGCUUUUGUACGGAACGAAACGGCGAGCUCUAAUAAAGUUUGCUAAUGACGGUACCGUAAGAAUAAGCACCGGCUAACUACGUGCCAGCAGCCGCGGUAAUACGUAGGGUGCGAGCGUUAAUCGGAAUUACUGGGCGUAAAGCGUGCGCAGGCGGUUAUAUAAGACAGAUGUGAAAUCCCCGGGCUCAACCUGGGACCUGCAUUUGUGACUGUAUAGCUAGAGUACGGUAGAGGGGGAUGGAAUUCCGCGUGUAGCAGUGAAAUGCGUAGAUAUGCGGAGGAACACCGAUGGCGAAGGCAAUCCCCUGGACCUGUACUGACGCUCAUGCACGAAAGCGUGGGGAGCAAACAGGAUUAGAUACCCUAGUAGUCCCUGAGCGGGCUGGCAAGGCGCAU